GAUGAACGCUGGCGGCGUGCCUAAUACAUGCAAGUCGAGCGAACAGACGAGGAGCUUGCUCCUCUGACGUUAGCGGCGGACGGGUGAGUAACACGUGGAUAACCUACCUAUAAGACUGGGAUAACUUCGGGAAACCGGAGCUAAUACCGGAUAACAUGUUGAACCGCAUGGUUUAAUAGUGAAAGACGGUCUUGCUGUCACUUAUAGAUGGAUCCGCGCCGCAUUAGCUAGUUGGUAAGGUAACGGCUUACCAAGGCAACGAUGCGUAGCCGACCUGAGAGGGUGAUCGGCCACACUGGAACUGAGACACGGUCCAGACUCCUACGGGAGGCAGCAGUAGGGAAUCUUCCGCAAUGGGCGAAAGCCUGACGGAGCAACGCCGCGUGAGUGAAGAAGGUCUUCGGAUCGUAAAACUCUGUUAUUAGGGAAGAACAAAUGUGUAAGUAACUAUGCACGUCUUGACGGUACCUAAUCAGAAAGCCACGGCUAACUACGUG
rnacentral:rRNA from 1 species